rnacentral:rRNA from 1 species
UGGGGAAUCUUGGACAAUGGACGAAAGUCUGAUCCAGCAAUAUUUAUUGUGCGAAGGAGACGGCAAGCUUUGUAAACCACUUUUGUAAAUACUAAUAAUGAUUUAGUUUUAAGUAAUUUAGUCCCGGCUAAUUUCGUGCCAGCAGCCGCGGUAAUACGGGAGGGGCUAGCGUUAUUCAUCAUAAACGGGCGUAAAGGGUGAGUAGACGAUGGUUAUUAGCUAAUCAGAAAAAACAAAUGUUUAUUUGCUAUAGAUUAUCUAACAAUCAAUCAGCGAUGACCGGAGUAAUUGGAAUUACUAAUGUAAAGGUAAAAUAUGAUGAUAUUAGUACGUACGCCAAAGGCGAAGGCAUGUUACUAGAUAGUCGGACGUUGAGGUGCGAAAGCAUGGGAAUCAAACG